AGUUCCAGGGGGUUUUCCUGAGCCUCUCAACAACAGGAGAGACUUGCAGAGCGCGGCAGGAACUGAAAGGGGCUUGCGUGAAUGAAAAAUCCAGAGAAAGGUGUCCUGCGGAACGGGCAGGAUGUGCAAAUAGAGCUGAGGAUGGAACCAACCCAGAGGACAGCAGAGUUAGACAUGGAGAAGGAAUAUGGUCUGAGCACCUGAAUUCCAUCAUGCUGGAGGAGGCCUUCAUUCCCAUGGACUUUUCCAUUAGGUGUGCUGACCCAUCUCGAAUCCUGGCCUGGAUGCUCCUGAAUGUCUCAGCUCUCCCAGGUACCCCUCCUUCCCCAAGCUGGAAUCCUGUUUCUAACUCCGUUUGCUGGGAUGGUCUGCACCUGUGGCCUGCCUCCAGCAGCACGCUCCAUUUGCCAGACAGGAUUUUCUUCCCUCCUUCUUAGUCAGCGGCCCUCUGUGCUGCGUGUCUGAGAACAGCAUCCCAGUUGAUCACUAAUCCAGGUGCCCCGAGCAGGGAGGUGCAUGACCCCAGCUCCA